AUGACUGUGCAAAAUGAAGGUGAAUUUCCACUGUCCUUACUCAUACGUUCCUGGAAUUUUACCUUUCAGGAAUUACACUACCUGUUUGAAGAGGGACACCUUGGACAGCAGAGUGAAGGAGGUGUAAUAUUAAAACUAUUUAUUCUCUUUAACACUGCACGUUCUUGUUUAAUACAGCAGAUACCAGGACUCCGUUGCAUGAUGUGCAGAAAAUCAGGUGGUCCUUGCCAAGAAGAAAAAGACAAAUGGAAGGGAAAGAGGCAAAGAGAUAAUGUAAAAUAUAAGCUGAGCAGGACAUGGAUAAGAAGUAUUUUUUACCACUUCAUUUCAUAGCUCUGUUUCAUGCUUUGUCAUAUUGUUCGUAAACAAAUGGAAACCCAACAGAAGACAUCUUAACAAAAAGCUGUCGGGUGAGCAUGCCUUAGUGUUCACUCCCAUAUUACUUCCACUUAAGUUUCUCUUUUCUUUUCCCCUCCCACUUAGACUUUCUUUCUUGGCCUGGUGGGCACUGUUGGAGGGAGCCUGGGCAGUGGGGUAGGUUGCACCUCAGUGGUCCUUUUGGUAUUUGUGUUACUCCUCCAAGCUGUUGCCAGAAAUAGGAGCAUGUGGGACAAAAAGGCAGGCAGUCACUGCACAGAGGAGCUUGCAGUCUAAGUGGAAGCUCUACUGUCUGGUUUUCCACCCAAAUAUAUUAAUGUGCCGCAGUAGGUCUUCAGCUUCAACUCCCACCAGGAUGUUUACAUUAAUGGGCUGAGGUGAGCUCUAGAUCCUUAGUUAUCCGUCUUUAUGUCUGUCAGGAUUUUUUUUUCCUGAAUAAUUCUACAACACUAUCUGCUUUUCAAGACCUGCAUCUUACUUCUGAUGCCUGGGCAGCUAUGACCAACACCACAGCAUCAUUUUACCUCUCAGUCAUUCCCAGACUGUACUGACAUCUUUAUUUCCAGUCUCUAGCCAUGACCUUCUCUUUCGUACAAUUUUACUGCUAAAUCCAGUACAAAAGUUAUCAAGUUCUUCCUCUGUCAUACGCUAAUCCUCCUCCAGACUAUAGCUAGCCCCUAAUUUUCAUACAUCAUCAGAUAUCAAUAUAACCCUUUUCCUUCUUUUUUUUUCUUUCUGCCACAGCCACAGGUGAAAAUAUUCAACAAGGCCCAGCCCAGAAGCAAUUCUUACAUGGCUGUAGUGACUGUCUUUCAGGCCAGCACUUCCCAACUCAGCAUUUUGCAGUUUCAUCCUAGUGUUAGCAGGCUUCUGACCCACUUUCUGCUUAUUCCCAUCUCCAGUUUAACUAAUCAUUACCCCAUAUCAAAUGCAUUCCUGGAGCCCAGAUAGAUGCUAUCUAAUGCAUUUCCUUUGACUAGAAAAUCAGUUAUCUUAUCAAAGGAAGCUAUCAGGUUAGUUUGGCACAAUCUAGCAUUGGUAGACAGGAGACAGAUGGUAAGAUGCAGAUGGGGAGGGAAUAAAAAGAAACCCAUACACA
rnacentral:lncRNA from 1 species